AGGCAUUUAUUAACUGGUUCCCGUCAUAUCAGAAAGCCACACGGCAGUGGUUUCCCACAUUGCAGCCGAAAGGAGCCAGUGUACCAGUGCAGCAAGUAAUAGCAUCCUUUUCGGUUCACGCAACAGCACGUCGACGAAAACUUCACAAUGGGCGAUAAUAAUGAUGAAGCACUGCGCAAGCUCUUCCUGGGCGGUCUUGACAGGGAUAAGACUUCCGAAACCCAGCUGAAGGAGUACUUUGGGGUGUACGGCACAGUCGUCGACUGUGUCGUCAUCAGAGACACCGAUAAGCAGACUUCCAAGGGCUUUGGCUUUGUGACGAUGGCCACGAUAGAAGAGACAGACAAAGUCUUGUUGGACAAGGAUGACAGCGAGCCUCAUUACAUCAACAAUAAGAAAGUGGAGGUCAAACGCGCCAUACCAAGAGGGCGCGACAUCUUGCCCGACCCGAUCAAGAAGCUUUUCGUCGCCGGCUUCAAGGAUGCCCCCCUCACAGAAGACGACCUGAAGGCCUACUUCGGCGACAAGUGCUGUGUCGAUAAAGUCCACAUCGUGAAGGACAAAGAGACGGGCAAACAGAAGGGCUACUGCUUUGUGGAAUUGAGCAACCGUCACAUGGUCGACAAAGCCGCAAUCGUUGAGAACCAUGAAAUCAAUGGCAUCAGUGUCAUCUGUAAGAAGGCUACACCCAAGGGUGAUGACGGCAGUGGCGGACGGGGUGGCGGAAGGGGUGGUGGCAGAGGCCGUGUUGGUGGCUACGGCGGUGGUGGUAGUGGCUACGGCGGUGGUGGCUACGGCGGGGGCGGCGGUGGUGGCUACGGCGGUGGCUACGGCGGCGGCGGUGGUGACUACGGUGGUGACGGGUCCGACGGCUAUGGUGGCUACGGUGGUGAUAGGUCAUACGGUGGCCGUGGCGGAGGUCGUGGACGUGGUGGUAGCCGCGGAGGCGGCGGUGGCGGCUACGGCGGCGGCAGUGGUGGGGGUAGCUGGGGCGGCAACGGUUACGAUAACUGGGGCAGUGGUAGCAGUGGAUAUGAUGCUGGCUCCAACUACGCAGGCUCGAGCUCCAACUAUGGGCCUAUGAAGGGAGGUUACAGCUCUGGCGGUGGUGGUGGUGGUAGCUACGGAAGCGGUUAUGGAAGCGGUGGUAGUGGUGGCUACGGUAGCGGUGGCUACGGAGGCGGUGGCGGAAGAGGUGGCCGCCCCUAUUAGAUCAUGUGACCAACCACCUGAUGUCGUCCCCAAGAGGUUUGUUGCGUUGUAACAGCCAGUGACAGAAAUCUGAUGGCAUGCUUGUGACUAUUAGACUUGGUACUGGAUGCUAUGCUUAGAUGCUCGGGAUGGAGAAAUUCAAGAAGGCUUGUUAGCUAUGGUGUUCUUAAAAUAGAUGCAGUUCGGAGCAUACAAGAAUGACAUCGUCACUUUGUUCAGUGCAAUCCUCGGUGCAAUUCCAAAGUGAAAUAUUUUGACAAAAACUCAGGAAACUUCAUUCACAUAUGCUGGAAAUGAUUGAAUGUUGAAUAUAGAAGAAUUCACUAUUUACAUGUAGGUCUAGUUUAGUGGAACGGCAUACAUUGUAAAUUAAACUACAUGUGCAAUGAUGUUUGGAUGGUGACCAAUUUUUCUCCAGUUUCUCAAGGUUUUGUAUGUUGAUUCACUGAAGCAAAGCCUCCAGAAAUUGUUUGCCGAAUUGCAAUUCCUGUAUUGAAAUUAAACUUAAUUUUUUUUUUAUCGGUUUACUCAACUCAGACUUUGUCACUCUUUCAAGAAGUUGUUAGAAUGUCAUGGAAGUUUAACACUUGUCUGCAAGGUAAAUGCCCAGCUACAUGUAGCAAAUCUAUGUUAUAUGUAGGUGUGGUUACUUAACAGUGCAAAGAUAAAUCAAAGAUGAAUCAGUCUUCAAUAUAUGAUGGUGGCAUUAACAAAAGAAUUGAAGUAUAAACAUUCAUUUAGCGUGUUUGAGUUUAGGUAAAAAAUCUUCAGUAGUGAGUUUUAUGCCAUGAUUUUGUCCUCUGCAGGGAAAUCGCAUUAUGUUUUUAACAUGAAAGUCUUUGACACAUCCACACUUCUUGUGCUGCACCUUGUCUGAAAUCUGAAUAUAUGAAUUAAAAUACCUAAAACUUCGUUUUUUAAUUAUUUUUUAAAACUGUUUUACUGUACUUACUUCAAACCCCAAUCAGUGCAUUAAAAAGGGUAGACUUUUACAAAUGUCCUAGCUAAAUGCAUUUUGUUCGAACCUGUUGAUUAAAAAUGUUUGUUUAUAGCAUUUUGACAUACUGUACCUUUAAAAUAGUACCUUAUUAACCCUUUUUGUAACAAGCUGAUAGUGACACUUAUUUUUUUAA
rnacentral:misc_RNA from 1 species